rnacentral:rRNA from 1 species
UGGGGAAUAUUGCGCAAUGGGGGAAACCCUGACGCAGCGACGCCGUGUGAGUGAUGAAGGCCUUCGGGUUGUAAAGCUCUGUCAGGUGAGAAGAAAUUCUCUAUGGCUAAUAUCCAUAGGGAUCGACGGUAUCACCAGAGGAAGCACCGGCUAACUCCGUGCCAGCAGCCGCGGUAAUACGGAGGGUGCAAGCGUUGUUCGGAAUUACUGGGCGUAAAGGGGGUGUAGGCGGCCAAGUAAGUCAGAUGUGAAAUCCCCCGGCUUAACCGAGGAAGUGCAUCUGAAACUGCUUGGCUUGAGUAUGGGAGAGGAAGGCGGAAUUCCCGGUGUAGCGGUGACAUGCGUAGAUAUCGGGAGGAACACCGGUGGCGAAGGCGGCCUUCUGGCCCAAUACUGACGCUGAGACCCGAAAGCGUGGGGAGCAAACAGGAUUAGAUACCCUGGUAGUCCACGCCGUAAACGUUGGGCAUUAGGUGUAGGGCUCGUAAGGGUUCUGUGCCGAAGGGAAACCAUUAAAUGCCCCGCCUGGGGAGUACGGCCGCAAGGUUG